CAGUAGACGACUGGGUUGAUAGGCCAGAUGUGGAAGCCCGGUAACGGGUGGAGCUGACUGGUACUAAUAGGCCGAGGGCUUGUCCUC
rnacentral:rRNA from 4 species